rnacentral:misc_RNA from 1 species
ACAUUAACCCUUCAUUUCAAAACGUGUUCAGUUGAGAUCGCACCUUUUCAACACAUGAAUUGACGUAAAUUUAGCUGUGCUUUCCCCCGUAUAUAACAGGCAUUUUGCUAUAAAAAUUCCAUUGUGCACAUGGAUAAAGGAGCGGAAAACAUCAAACUGGAUGUUAUGGCGUUGGAGGGCUGUGAAUACAGCGCAAUGUGUCACUCUAUUCAUUCUGUCAGUCGUAAAUCUGCAGAUGACACCGGUGCCACCGCCUUCCGGCCAAACUGCGAAGCUCACCCCUGUCACGGCCUGCUGUGUACACCGUCAGGACCUGACAUUUCAGGUAUAACGAGAAGGCCAUAAAACAACUCCGCAUUUUAUCUACCCCACUGACCUCAGUUCUGGCAUUGCUUCAUUUACUGUUGCCAAAAGUCAUCAUCUUAAUCUCCCUUGACUAGGAUUCUCUCCGGCACUUCUCCUGGAGCAGCUUGUUUGGACCAUAUACUUUUGUCAUGCUAUUCAACCCGCAAGCUACAAGCCUACCACCACUUUGAUGUUUUAAAUAUUUAUAUAUCAUUCACAAUGUAUUAUUAUUACCCCUACAUACCAGCCGCGUUAUCUGUAUCUAAAUUUAAUCAGGAACAUAGCACUAACUAUUGCACAGGAACUAUUUGGCACUAAAUUUUAAUAU